GGGGAAUAUUGGACAAUGGGCGCAAGCCUGAUCCAGCAAUGCCGCGUGGGUGAAGACGGCCUGCGGGUUGUAAAGCCCUUUAGGCGGGGAGGAACGGCGUCGUGCGAACAGUGCGGCGCUCUGACGUUACCCGCAGAAUAAGCACCGGCUAACUCCGUGCCAGCAGCCGCGGUAAUACGGAGGGUGCGAGCGUUAAUCGGAAUUACUGGGCGUAAAGCGUGCGUAGGCGGAUGGGUCAGGCAGCCGUGAAAGCCCGGGGCUCAACCUGGGAACGGCGGUUGAGACGGCCCGUCUCGAGUGGGCUAGAGGAUCGUGGAAUUCCGGGUGUAGCGGUGAAAUGCGUAGAGAUCCGGAGGAACACCGAUGGCGAAGGCAGCGGUCUGGGGCCACACUGACGCUGAGGCACGAAAGCGUGGGGAGCAAAC
rnacentral:rRNA from 1 species